UGCCGGCGAACGGCAAGCCCAACGUCUGCAGCGAGGAUUGCUGCACGAGCCUGAGUUUCGAGCAUGGGAGCAACAUUCUUGCGACCAGAAAAUGCUGCCUUGCUAUAAUCAUUCCGUCUGCCACCUCUUUUCUCUUCUCUUCUCUUCUCUUCUCUUCUCUGCUCUUACUCGUUGUGUAUACUUGUAGGUAUGCGCGCAUAUCUCCACGUGCACACACACACACACACUCGCACACACAGGCGCGCGCAAUUCUCACACGAACGUGACCAUUUAUUAGAUACACGGAAGUUGAACGUCGUGUUGAGUGCCGGUCUGACCCACAGGCGCUGUAACAAUUCCGCUCCUGCUAUCGCCGCUGUUACUGCUAGCCGCUGCUGAUGCCACUUCCUUCCGAUUGUACAUUCCGGAAAAUUAUACGAGAUGCCAGACUAUUCUGUGGCGGUUUUCGAAUCUUGUUGGCAAUACUCGGUAUAUCCUGCCCGGAAAAGCGGUUAGCCACAGAUUUCGGGGCAAAUUCAAUCGAUAUUGCAGAAGAGAGGGACAAGGGCGGUACAGAAUAAAUUCUACGCCAAUGUACCAACAACUACAAUCAACAUCGGUGGACACCAUGCUUUCCGUACAUGUAGAGCCUUUCACCAUAAUUAUCCGGUAUCAACGAACCCAAAGCUGAAAGCUGAAUUGGCUUACGGAGACUGAUGCAACUCGGGCAAACCUUGCGCGUCCUGAGACAAAUGUGGUAGGAUCUGGGAUAUGGAACGACGCUGUGCGAUAUAAGAACGAAGAGUGGACGAACGAUGGCCACGUCCGAGUCAACCUUGGAAAUCGCCCGAGGGUCGGAGGCUGCAAUGCGGUAUCGUCAAACCGAUUGUUCUCUGCGAUUCCCAUCGUCUGAUGUUACAUUGACUACUAUACGAAGAUGUCAGCGAGUUUGUCGGUAAUUUCGUCAGCCUUUUCUGAACCAGACGAACACUUCGAAGCUGGCUGGUCAAUUGUCUGAAAACCAAUUGUGGGCAAUUGAUGCUCGAUGCGGUUGGGUACCGCGUAUGUGAAGCGGCGGAUCAUUCUUCGUACGUCAAAUGACCUCGCCGACCCGCCUCCUGUGGAUAAUCGCCCUACCAGUGAAUGAGAUCGACGAUUUUAACGGAUGAUUUUAAUGAAGAAGAGAAAAAAAGAAUCGGCGACAUCGGUAACAGAUAUCACACGUGGACUCGGUGUUAUUAAACCAGCAAAAACGCCCCGGUAUCAACGUGUG